rnacentral:rRNA from 1 species
UACGUAGGUGGCAAGCGUUGUCCGGAUUUAUUGGGUUUAAAGGGUGCGUAGGCGGUUUCCUAAGUCAGUUGUGAAAUACGGCAGCUUAACUGUCGAGGUGCAAUUGAUACUGGGAAACUUGAGUACUGAUGAGGUAUGCGGAAUGGACGGUGUAGCGGUGAAAUGCUUAGAUAUCGUCCAGAACACCGAUAGCGAAGGCAGCAUACUAAGGAGUAACUGACGCUGAGGCACGAAAGUGUGGGGAUCAAACAGG